UAACUUUCAACAACGGAUCUCUUGGUUCUCGCAUCGAUGAAGAACGCAGCGAAAUGCGAUAAGUAAUGUGAAUUGCAGAUUUCAGUGAAUCAUCGAAUCUUUGAACGCACCUUGCGCUCCUUGGUAUUCCGAGGAGCAUGCCUGUUUGAGUGUCAUUA
rnacentral:rRNA from 1 species